rnacentral:pre_miRNA from 1 species
AAAAAAAACAAACCCUGGUUUCCGUGUCCAACGUUUGACCGUCCGUCUUAUUUGAAAAAAUUAUGAAAAAAUUAAAAAAACAAGUGACGCAUAAAAUAUUAAUCAUGUUUUAUCAUCUAACAACAAUGAAAAUACGAAUUAUAAAAAAAUUUCAUAUAAGACGGACAAUCAAAGUUGGACACGGAAACCCAGAGUUUAUCUUUUU